GGGAGCGACUUGGCUUCGACAGGAGUAAGUCUGCUUAGAUGGCAUGUCGCUUUGGGCAAAGCGUAAAAAGCCCAAAUAAAAUUAAACGCAAACAACGUUAAAUUCGCUCCUGCUUACGCUAAAGCUGCGUAAGUUCAGUUGAGCUUGAAAUUUAAGUCAUACUAUCUAGCUUAAUUUUCGGUCAUUUUUGAUAGUGUAGCCUUGCGUUUGACAAGCGUUGAGGUGAAAUAAAGUCUUAGCCUUGCUUUUGAGUUUUGGAAGAUGAGCGAAGUAGGGUGAAGUAGUCAUCUUUGCUAAGCAUGUAGAGGUCUUUGUGGGAUUAUUUUUGGACAGGGGUUCGAUUCCCCUCGCUUCCACCA
rnacentral:tmRNA from 1 species